rnacentral:rRNA from 1 species
ACCGUACUCCUACGGGAGGCAGCAGUGGGGAAUAUUGGACAAUGGGCGAAAGCCUGAUCCAGCAAUGCCGCGUGAGUGAUGAAGGCCUUAGGGUUGUAAAGCUCUUUUACCAGGGAUGAUAAUGACAGUACCUGGAGAAUAAGCUCCGGCUAACUCCGUGCCAGCAGCCGCGGUAAUACGGAGGGAGCUAGCGUUGUUCGGAAUUACUGGGCGUAAAGCGCGCGUAGGCGGCUACUUAAGUCAGGGGUGAAAGCCCGGGGCUCAACCCCGGAACUGCCUUUGAAACUAGGUAGCUAGAAUCUUGGAGAGGUCAGUGAAAUUCCGAGUGUAGAGGUGAAAUUCGUAGAUAUUCGGAAGAACACCAGUGGCGAAGGCGACUGACUGGACAAGUAUUGACGCUGAGGUGCGAAAGCGUGGGGAGCAAACAGGAUUAGAAACCCCGGUAGUCCUUGAC